CAGUGGUUAGUUUAAUUAAAAUAUUAAUUUUGGAGAUUAAAGAUGAGUUUAUCUCUUACCGCUGA
rnacentral:tRNA from 1 species